rnacentral:rRNA from 1 species
AUUUUGGGCAAUGGGCGAAAGCCUGACCCAGCAACGCCGCGUGAGGGAUGAAGUAUUUCGGUAUGUAAACCUCGAAAGAAUGGGAAGAAUAAAUGACGGUACCAUUUAUAAGCUCCGGCUAACUACGUGCCAGCAGCCGCGGUAAUACGUAGGGAGCAAGCGUUGUUCGGAUUUACUGGGCGUAAAGGGCGCGUAGGCGGCGCGGUAAGUCACUUGUGAAAUCUCUGAGCUUAACUCAGAACGGCCAAGUGAUACUGCUGUGCUAGAGUGCGGAAGAGGCAACCGGAAUUCUGGGUGUAGCGGUGAAAUGCGUAGAUAUCAAGAGGAACACCUGAGGCGAAGGCGGGUUGCUAGGCUGACACUGACGCUGGGGCGCGAAAGCCAGGGGAGCAAACG